GAUGAACGCUGGCGGCGUGCCUAAUACAUGCAAGUCGAGCGAACAGAUGAGGAGCUUGCUCCUCUGACGUUAGCGGCGGACGGGUGAGUAACACGUGGAUAACCUACCUAUAAGACUGGGAUAACUUCGGGAAACCGGAGCUAAUACCGGAUAAUAUAUUGAACCGCAUGGUUCAAUAGUGAAAGACGGUUUUGCUGUCACUUAUAGAUGGAUCCGCGCCGCAUUAGCUAGUUGGUAAGGUAACGGCUUACCAAGGCAACGAUGCGUAGCCGACCUGAGAGGGUGAUCGGCCACACUGGAACUGAGACACGGUCCAGACUCCUACGGGAGGCAGCAGUAGGGAAUCUUCCGCAAUGGGCGAAAGCCUGACGGAGCAACGCCGCGGGAGUGAUGAAGGUCUUCGGAUCGUAAAACGCUGUUAUUAGGGAAGAACAAAUGUGUAAGUAACGAUGCACGUCUGGACGGUACCUAAUCAGAAAGCCACGGCUAACUACGU
rnacentral:rRNA from 1 species